AUACUUACCUGGGCGGCGUGUAUGGGCGAUCAAGAAAGUCCAUGGCCUAGGUUGGUGACCUCCAUUGCACUUUAGGAGGGAUGUUAGCCUAAGGUCUCCCCAAGUGGGAGAGCCUACGUCAUUAUUUGUUGCCUUGGGGGCCUACGUUUGCGCGGCCCUGCC